CCUACGGGAGGCAGCAGUGGGGAAUUUUGGACAAUGGGCGCAAGCCUGAUCCAGCAAUGCCGCGUGAGUGAAGAAGGCCUUCGGGUUGUAAAGCUCUUUUGUCAGGGAAGAAACGGUGGAGGCUAAUAUCCCUUGCUAAUGACGGUACCUGAAGAAUAAGCACCGGCUAACUACGUGCCAGCAGCCGCGGUAAUACGUAGGGUGCAAGCGUUAAUCGGAAUUACUGGGCGUAAAGCGUGCGCAGGCGGUUUUGUAAGUUUGUCGUGAAAUCCCCGGGCUCAACCUGGGAAUGGCGAUGAAGACUGCAAGGCUAGAAUCUGGCAGAGGGGGGUAGAAUUCCACGUGUAGCAGUGAAAUGCGUAGAGAUGUGGAGGAACACCGAUGGCGAAGGCAGCCCCCUGGGUCAAGAUUGACGCUCAUGCACGAAAGCGUGGGGAGCAAACAGGAUUAGAUACCCUGGUAGUCCACGCCCUAAACGAUGUCUACUAGUUGUCGGGUUUUAAUUAACUUGGUAACGCAGCUAACGCGUGAAGUAGACCGCCUGGGGAGUACGGUCGCAAGAUUAAACUUCAAAUGAAUUGACGG
rnacentral:rRNA from 1 species